UCCGAAGGGUGCAAGCGUUAAUCGGAAUUACUGGGCGUAAAGGGUGCGUAGGCGGUUCGCUAAGUCUGUUGUGAAAUCCCCGGGCUCAACCUGGGAAUGGCAAUGGAUACUGGCGAGCUAGAGUGUGAUAGAGGAUGGUGGAAUUCCCGGUGUAGCGGUGAAAUGCGUAGAGAUCGGGAGGAACAUCAGUGGCGAAGGCGGCCAUCUGGAUCAACACUGACGCUGAAGCACGAAAGCGUGGGGAGCAAACAGG
rnacentral:rRNA from 1 species